GGGGAGAUGGCUCAGUGGUUAAGAGCACUGACUGUUCUUCCAGAGGUCCUGAGUUCAAGUCCCAGCAACCCCA
rnacentral:tRNA from 1 species